GACGUAGGUGGCGAACGUUAUCCGGAAUUAUUGGGCGUAAAGGAUGCGUAGAUGGUGUAGUAAGUUAUCGGUGGCAAAUCGAGGCUCAACCUCGUGGAAGUCGGUAAUACUGCUAUGCUAGAGGAUAGGAGAGGCUAACGGAACUCCCUGUGGAGCGGUGAAAUGCGUAGAUAUAGGGAAGAACACCAAUCAGGCGAAGGCAGUUAACUAUUCUAUUCCUGACAUUGAGGCAUGAAAGCGUGGGGAGCAAAACGG
rnacentral:rRNA from 1 species